CCGCCGCGGGGUGGGGCCGCACUCGGUCCCUUCCUGCCGCCAGGCCCUGCGGCCAAUGGCGCGGGCCUCGGACUCGCCUCCGCCCCCGCCCUGACCCGCCCCCGCCGGCCCAGCUCCCGCCCCCGAGACGCACGGGCCGCGGAGCUCUAGGGACCCUCCGCCCCGGGGCUCCUCCGCCGCCCGCGCUCCCAGAGGCUCCAGGCACCUAGUGUGCGACUGCGACCGUCGAAGAGAACACAUGGGAACGUAUGGGUUUAUGAUCCUCGUUUAUUCUGUGCUUGAUGUAACUACCAAAAAAAUAUGGAUAUCUGUAAACCUUCCAAAAGUAAGUAUCGAGAUGCUGGGGAAAUAACCACUAACGCAGGAUUGGUAAUUCAUCGCCCAUUGAGGUGCGUCCAUCCUUUCUCUGCUGCAGCCACAGACCCUGGAAAGUGGGUGGAGACCUUAGAGGUAUUGGUCCUGACAUUCCAACUCAGCUACAUAAUCCUCACCAGCAAAUUGAAGCACUUAAUUCUGCUAAACUAUAUAACACUGACUUUUCAAAACCCAAUAGAUCCACGUCCACUUUGCUGUAGUUAAAAAAAAAUUACAACCACAUUUGUGAAUGUCACAUUUCUUGAACUACAUAAUUUUAAUAUCACUUGUGUAGGCUUUAUAGUUUGUUUUAUUGUUUUAAAAGUCAUUUGGGGCUCUAAAAGAAGUCAGUUUUUCCAAAGUUGUCCUUAUGAUUUUUUUUUCACACAGUCAGAACUAAUAAAACAAAACUGCUGUAGCUAUUUAAUUCAAAAUCUCUUGGAGUUUCAAUAUUUUCUCUCUGCUGGAUACUAAAGCCAAUAAGGCUACAUGAGAUUUUAAUUAUAUGCCGAAUUAAACAAGACUCGCCAAAAAUUUGGUGCCAUUUAUUUUAGUCAUUGUUACUGUGCAAGAGGACGAAUUUUGCAGGGGGAAAAAGUAGCUCUGGCCUCUCACUUACCAACUGAGAACUUAGGUAAACGCCUGCAACUUGUUUUUGAGAAUUAAGUGUACGUAGAGUUAAAUUUUCGGAUUAGCUGUGCUCAAACACAUCAGUGGAUUCUGCUAUAUCGCAGCUUGGUUCUGUGUGCGUUUACGUUGAAAGGUGCAUUUCCUUCAAUUGUUGGAAUGAGUCAUUAAGUCUCUUGUAAAAUUAUUUUUUUUUAAUUUUUUAGAUCUAUUUAUUUAUUACAUACACAGUGUUCUGCAUAUAUAUAUAUAUGACAGACGAGGGCACCAGAUCUUAUUACAGAUGGUUGUGAGCCACCAUGUGGUUGCUAGGAAUUGAACUCAGGACCUCUAGAAGAGCAGUCAGUGCUCUUAACCGCUGAGCCAUCUCUCCAGCCUGUAAAAUUAUUUUUUAUCUUAUUUAACAGUUGACAAGAGCUAAGAAGAGUUUUAGGGUUUUUUUUAAACUAAUAUAUCAAAUACAGAUGUCUAGUCCGUGACGUGGAUGGUAUCAAAGCCUGAAAGAACAGAGGGGAUGAACAUGUGCUGCGGCAGAUUCACCCAAGUUCCCUUUCCACGUUUUCUAAGCUGCCACACACACACUGCACAGCACUGCAGCACGGGUGGGUUUUACUGCCCACAGACUAUGUAGUUUAUAGUAUUUGUACAGUGUAAAAGGUGAUGGACUGGAUAAUAAGCUCACCGAGUUUUUUAAAUGGAUACAAGAUCUGAGUAGGCGUUUCCCCCCCUGAAAAUUAGAUAAAGCUAGCCAGUAAGCGCAUAAAGAGAUGUCGACAGCACUAAUCAUCAGGGAGAUAAAUGCAAAUCAAAACCACAGUAAGACAUCACUUUGUGCAGGACAGUUAUGAGAUGUAAAAACACAGGUUGGUGGGGAGGUAGUGUUUGGAAUCUUUAUAACUGGGGGAACGGGGAGGAGCAGCAAUGCAAACUGAAAUGGGAAAAGAGUCUCAUUCUCAGCAUGGUUAAACACAGUUACUGUUACCAUAAUACCAGAAGAAGGUUGGUUCCAGUGGGCUACUAGAGUUCUACCCUUAGGUUUAGACUCAAGAAGUAAUAAUGUAUGUUCACACAAAAACUUGGUUUUUAGCAAUUAUUCAUACUUGCUAAACAAUAGAAACACAAUAUCCAAAAUGAACAAUCCAAUGUGGGUAUAUCUAAACAGUAUUAUCUAGCCAGGCAUCGUGGGGCAUGCCCAGGAAGAGAUUAAACUCAGGAGGCAGAGGUAGGGGGACCUAUGGUUUGAGGCCAACCUGGUCUACAGCGGGAGGUCCAAGACAGGCAGAGCUGCACAGAGAAACCAUCUCUGAAAGAAUCAAAUGUAUGUGUGUAUGUGUGUAUAUGUUGAUGCAGAAUCUCCCAAUCAAUCCAAGAUCUCCCCAAUAUGGCUAGUCUUGCCCUAGAGACAAGGGUCUCUCUUAGGAAUUACAAAUAAGCCACCAUGUCCACCCAGCAUUGAUUGGGGCCCUGGGAACCCAAAACAGGUGCUUGCUCAGCAAAUGCCUUAACCACUGAGCUAUCUCCCCAGCCCAAGGGGAAACUAAGGGGUGAGUUGUACAGUAUGUAAAUUAUCUCACUAAAGUAGUAUUUCACAUCUUUUAAUGAGGAAAGGGUGUCAUUUGGAAGCCUUACAUGUGUGACCUAGAGUUUCAGCAAGCUUUACAACAGCAGAAGUGAUAUCGUAACAGAUAAUCUAAGUCUAAGGGCGAAACACCAGACUCCUAGGUGACAAUCAUCGAGAAGGUAGCAGAAAUGACGAAGCGGGACUCUUGCUGUCUGAAUCAUGGGUUCUUCUAAUCAGCGCACCAACCUGCCCCACUGGACUCCACCCUCAACCCCCAGAAAGAUGGACUUGAUUGCUAAGGAACAAAAUGUCCGAAAGAAAAAAAACAGUCUAGAUUCUGGUCUUUUUUUUUUCUUUUUUUUUUAUUUAAGAUUUCAUGAAGUCAUUUGGGAGACUAUCGGGAAUGACUGGCCCCAUCCUUGGUUCAAAGGAUUCUAUUCUGAGAAAAGAGAAAGACAACCGAUGUUGAAAGACUGUAAGGAAGUCACAGGACUCUGUAUGUGUGUGAGACAGACAGAUAGACACACAGAAAGAGACAGAGAGACAGAGAAAUACAGAGACACAGAAAAUUCAAGGAGGUGGGGGAACACUGAGGAGCUGUGAAGGGUGGGGAUCUGGGAGAGCUGUGGAAGCCAUCUAGAAAGCCAGGAGGCAUCGGAAUGCAGCAGCAGUGAGCUCACCCACUCUACCUGCUGGAUCUGGAGGGACUGCACAGCCGUCAAGCAAUGUUUGACUUUCCGAGAUUGCAUUUCUCCCAGCUAUGAAAUGGACCUGCCAUGUGAAAUUAUUUCAAACUAGCUCAUUAACAGAUUCUGGGACUAUCAGGAGAAUUGGGAAAAUACUACUCACAUGCAGAUUGGACCUAAAAGCAAAAUUCUUAGCUGAAAUUAUAGGUCUCAGAAAUGAACAGGAAACGAUGGAGGAAGGACAUGGACAACAGUAGGGACAACACGAGAGGGUGAAACAGGAAGUGGCAUUAUGAAGCCCCCAGUUUUCACCUUUUGAAAUUUGAAUCCAGUUGCUAAACAAUCUGACAUACAGUAGGAGAUUAAUAGAUAUUUUUGAAUCUUUAGAUGGGUAGGGGAUCAGUCUAAGGUCAUUGGGCUUUUGUAGCAAAGUGCCUUUACCCACCAAUUCAUCUUGCUGGCUCGUGAGUUUUGUUGUUUUGGGAUGCUGGUGACCAGACCCACACUCCCACACUCCACCACUGAGCUACACCCAGAGCUUUCUUAGCGUCUCUAGCCUCCCAUUUCCUUAAAUGUAGCAGUGGGAUUAGAUUAAUGCCUUUUUCAGGAUUUGGUGUUGUUGUAAAUGUAAAUAUUAUAUUCUAGUUACCCCGUAUAAAAGACACACAAUCCUGGUAUUUUAUUUACAAACUGUAAGCCUAGUUUGGGCAGGUUUGGGAGCUGUUCUAACUUAUAUCCCAGCCAUAUGUUCCUUGUUACUUGCUUGUUACACGCUCAUGGUCCGCUCAUGGCGGCUUCUCUCUUCUUGUCUCUUCUGUUCUCCUCUCCUGCUCUCUCUUGAGACCCCUCACUCCAUCCUCAAGUCCUGCCUUUCUCACUCUACUCCCCAAUCACAGGUUUUAGCCUUUUAUUGAUCAAUUAACUUGAGGGGCAAGGUUUUAACAACAAAAGCUGGUGUGUGUGUGUGUGUGUGUGUGUGUGUGUGUGUGUAAAUUUACUCCUCUUGGGUAUAGAAUUUAGCAUUUGAAUACAUAGCAUCAGAUCAGCCCCAAAUAAGUGAAGGUUAAAUACAUUGUUUACAUGUAAAUUUCUGGCAUAUAGUAAGCAUGAAAUAAAUGGUUCUUGUCAUGGGAAUUUUACAACUUCUGCCACUGCCAGCGAUACCCACUAAUCCCAAAUUGGUUCUCCCAAUUUUUUUAGGCCAAAGAGGCAUCGGAUCCUCUGGAACUGGAGUUAUAGUUGUGAGCUGCCAUGAGGGUGCUGGGAAUUGAACCCAGGUCCUCUGCAAGAGCAACAAGUGCUCUUAACCACUAAGCCAUCUCUCCAGGCUGUUUUGUUUUUCAGACAGAUUCUCACUAUGUAGCCCUGGCUGGCUUGGCUUCAAACUCAAAGAGAUCCAUUUGUCUCUACCUCCCAAGUGCUAUGAUUAAAGGCAUGCACUACUAUGCUCAAUACAAUAUCUAGUAUAUAUUUUAAUAUUUAUUUAUAUGUAUGUUUUGAAGGCAUGUAUGUCUACAUACCAUGUAUGUGCACUGCCUGUGGAGGCCAGAAGAGGGCAGCAUAUUCCCUGGAGCUGGACUUACAGGUGUUUGUGAGCCACUAUGUGGAUGCUGGGAUUUCUGGAAGAGACAGGUUUUCUCUGUGUAGCCCUGGAUGUCUUGGAACUUGCUCUGUAGACCAGGCUGGCUUUGAACUCAGAGACCUUCUUGCUUUGCCUCCCACUUGCACUGCUGCCUGCCAGCUCCUAAUUUUAUUUUAUUUUUUUAAAAAACAUUUAUUAUGUAUAAGUACAUUGUCGCUGUCUUCAGACAUACCAGAAGAGGGCAUCAGAUCCCAUUACAGAUGGUUGUGAGCCACCAUGUGGUCACUGGGAAUUGAACUCAGGACCUGUGGAAGAACAGUCAGUGCUCCUAACCGCUGAGCCAUCUCCCCAGCCCACCUAGUUUUAUUUUUUAAGUUAUAUGUUUUGUGCAAAAAAUAUGAGAUAGCCUCAUUAUUGGUCUUCAUAGGAAUUCAAGGAAAGAUUGUUAGCACUUAUCAGCACAUAUAGUACUGGCACUGAUUUUUUUUUUAAAUCAGUUACUAAAGAGGAAGCUUAUGGGGACUGGAGGGAUGGGUCAGAGGUUAGGAGCACUGGCUGCUUUUGCUGAGGGCCUGAGUUUGAUUCCCAGCACCCACACAGUGGCUCACAAACCCCAGUUCCAGGGACCGAACAUUGUCUUCUAACUUCUGAGGACACUACAUGAACAUGUUGCACAGGCGCAUGGGCAGGCAAACCACACAUAUUUUUGUUGUUGUUAUUGUUUUGCUUUUUGUUUUUUAAAUUCUGAUUUAUGGAAUCACCUAACCUGUGAUUCAAUGAGGAAGUAAUAGUAUUUUUUUUAAAGAUUUACUUAUUUUUAUUUAUAUGAACACACUGUCACUGUCUUCAGACACACUAGAAGAGGGUAUCAGAUCCCAUUACAGGUGGUUGUGAGCCACCAUGUGGUUGCUGAGAUUUGAACUCAGGACGUCUGGAAGAGCAGUCAGUGCUCUUAACUGCUGAGCCCUCUCUCCAGCCUCAAUGAGAAAUUAAAGAGAAAGUGUCUGAGAUGUGGCCCACCACUGAUGUGCCAGCAAAACCAAUCCUCUUGCCUCAGGCUGGGGACGUAGCUCAGUAGAGUGCUUGCCUAGCAUGUAUGGAGUCCUGGUUCAAUCCCCAAAUGAACUUGGCAUUGUGGCACUGGCCUGUAAUCCCAGCAUUUAUGAGGUAAAGGCAAGAGGAUUAAAAAUUCAAGGUAGGGGAGGGAAAAAAAAUUCAAGGUAAUCCUUGUCCACAGAGAAACCAGCCUGGGCUACAUGAAACCGUCUCAAACAACCACUAGCCUCUUGGCUGGUUUUCCAAGCCAAGGCAUUAGUAGUAAGACUUUAAACUCCCUUCCAAGCAAAAGAUUCCGAGUAAGAUUAGAUUAGAUCUAACAGGUUUUCAAAUCUUAUCUUUUUGGAUCUUUUCAUUGAGAAAUCUACCUGGAAGGCAGGACAAAAGUUGGCAAUACUUUGAACUGGUAAGAAUCCAGGAGAUACGAUCAAUGGAAGAUUGAAAGUGAAGGAAUCUGGAAGGUGAGCUCAUUAGAAUACCCAGGGUGUGGCCAGCAAGUGAAUGACCUUGGUUAGAUUACUAGGACUGUCACCACAGAGAGAACAAUUCAUGAGAAGUUGUCCUCCAACCUCUACCCACUUCACAGUAUGUGCAGCGCGCGCGCACGCACACACACACACACACACACACACACACACACACACACACACACACACCAUGGCUCAGCAGUUAAAAACACUUGUUUUCCUAGAUUAAUAGCAAUGUAUUAAUAGCCUACAAAACCUUGGUCUUGCAGUGGUUUUGCCUUAUGAGUUUAUCUUGUCUGGAGUUCAAUAAACUUAUUAGUUGUACAGAUUGAGAAGUUUUAACACAUCUGAAGUGUUUUGAGUAUUUUUGCUUAAAUGUACCCCUCGCUGCUGUCCUGGGGCUAGCUUUGCAAAUAUCUGAAUGUUUGAUGAUUAUAUUGGAUAACCUGGGAGAAUACUCUGAGCUUCACCCAUCAUCCCACUCCUUGCUCCCACUGAGCAGCAGAACCAAGUGCUUUUCAGCUCCUUUCAUAGUGGUUUCACCUAUACGCAUUUAUAUAUUCUCACCUAUGUAUUCUCAACUUCGGGAGUUUCCUGUAUUCCUUUGGCUCUUUGAGAAUAACUAAGUUAGUUUUCAAUUUUUGUCUAGUACUAAACUCCAGGCUGUCUUGAGCUUGGGACAUUCCAGAAUAGGAUAACGAUAACCAAUAUAAUGUACUAUGCAGCACACGUAGUAACACCCACCUGUGAUCCUAGUAAUUGGGAAGUAGAGGCAGGAUGACAAGACGUUGAAGCUUACCUUUGGCUGUGUGGUAAGUUCGAAGCCCGACUGGGAUAUAUGAGACUGUCUCUUUGAGGGUGGGAGCAGUUCAGUGGGUAAGGGCACUUGCUACCCAUCAGUACAAACCUAAGGACCCACUCAAUCCUGGGAACCCACAUAAAGUUGGAAGGAGGGAACAGGCCACAGGAAGUGGUCCCCUGACCUCCCAUGUGCAUCCUAUGGGCACAUGUUCCCACUUCACACACAAGUUCAGAAUAAGUAUAUUACAGAAUUUUUUUCAAAAAACAACAAAUGAACAAAACCUACACAGUAUCUCAAGCUUAAAAUUCCAACAUUGUUACCGUGAGUGAGAAAUGUCUGGGGAUAGGCAUGCCGAACCUGGAACCUGGCUUAAACACUGCAGUAUGUAUGUCCAUGAGCCCCAAGCAUUACUAGUUUGCUUUUUGCUUAAAAUUGUGACAACACCUUUAGGAAAAGCUUCCUCAGUUUCUGCGUCUUUCUCCUGUGAAUGGAUGGUACUUAUUUCUUCCCACCUUUCAGGCUGCUUUUUACGUUUUCAAGCUGAAUGGUUUGAAUAUCCUAAUGUACCAACCAGAAACCGAAUUCUCCACUCAGGCUUUGUGUCCGUUACUCACGGAGGCUGCGGGGACAGUGACUUCUAAACUGUCUCAACACAGGUUUCUAGAAGGAGCUGCAGUGCUGAGUCAGCUUAGGAACACUUGCUACUACUCUUACGAGAGAACCUGAGUUCAGGUCCCAGGAUGUUGGCCUCACAACCACAGCUCCAAGGACAGAAUUCCAGGGAUAAAUCUCCAGCUCUGGGCUGGAGAGAUUAUGGCUCAGUGGUUAAGAGCACUGACUGCUCUUCCAGAGGUCCUGAGUUCAAUUCCCAGCAACCACAUGGUGGCUCACAACCCUCUGUGAUGGGAUCCGAUGCCUUCUUCUGGUGUGUCUGAAGACAGCUACAGCUAUAGUGUACUCAUAUGUAUAAAAUAAGUAACUAUAACACUUCCUGGUGUCUGAGGACACCUGCAGGAAAAAGCACAUUGUCCAAGCAUAUACACAUAAAAGAAAAUCUUUAAUGAAGUUUCCUUGAAGACCAGACAUCUAAAUGUUAAAAUCAAGAAAA